GCCCGGUUAGCUCAAUCGGUAGAGCGUGAGACUCUUAAUCUCAAGGUUGCGGGUAAGUCUAAAUAGAUAAAUCCAUUACAAUGGUCACCCACGUACUAACCCAGCUCGAAUAGGUUCGACCCCCGCAUCGGGCU